UGCCGCAGCCGCUGCUGCCGCUGCCGCUGCUGCUGCUGCUGCCGCUACGUCUGCUGCUGCUGCUGGGGCA
rnacentral:sRNA from 1 species